rnacentral:lncRNA from 1 species
GUUCCCAGGACCCACGGGUGACUCAGGGCUCUGUGGGAACAGUGAGGUGGGGGAGCCAGGACAGCAGAGUAAAUGGGCUAGGAACAAGUACUGGGCCGCUGGCUGACAUCGAGUACCCAAGGAGCAGAGGAAGAGGCUUACAAAGAAGAUGGAACUCGGAUCCUGGAUAUCCUUAUCUGUGAACAUGUUCGGUGCGUCUGUGACUCUGACGUGUGGUGGGACCAUGGCAUGUCUCAUCGGGGCUGGGCUGGUGGUGGCUCUCGUUUUUGGCUUCACCUAUUGUGCCAUAAAGCAGGCGAAGACAAAGGAGCUGUUUAAAAUAAAUUGAUAGAAAUCCUGUCCAGGCACCGGUGGAAGGAUAGCACCCCAUCUCUGGAAUGUGGUGUAGUGACGUGCUGUUUUACACUUUUCAAAUUUUAAGAGUGAACAAUGUAAACUUUAAAUGAUUAAACAUGAUUGAGCUCCAACUGUGUGCCUGACUGUCUUCUAGAAGCAGGUUCUGAAUUCCACAAUUCUGGAUCCUUUGAGACUCAGCUUCAAACCCACCACCAUGGCACCCUUCUGCCAUCCACCAGUCCUCACCUGGCCCUGCACUAAAGCUGCCUGGCCUGGGCCAUCAGAUCAGGUAGACUGUCU